rnacentral:rRNA from 1 species
UACGAAGGGGGGCUAGCGUUGCUCGGAAUCACUGGGCGUAAAGCGCACGUAGGCGGAUCUUUUAAGUCAGGGGUGAAAUCCUGGAGCUCAACUCCAGAACUGCCUUUGAUACUGGGGAUCUCGAGUCCGGAAGAGGUGAGUGGAACUCCGAGUGUAGAGGUGAAAUUCGUAGAUAUUCGGAAGAACACCAGUGGCGAAGGCGGCUCACUGGUCCGGUACUGACGCUGAGGUGCGAAAGCGUGGGGAGCGAACAGG